AACGAACGCUGGCGGCAUGCCUAACACAUGCAAGUCGAACGAGACCUUCGGGUCUCGUGGCGCACGGGUGCGUAACGCGUGGGAACCUGCCCUUAGGUUCGGAAUAACUCCCCGAAAGGGGUGCUAAUACCGGAUAAUGUCUUCGGACCAAAGAUUUAUCGCCUUUGGAUGGGCCCGCGUUGGAUUAGCUAGUUGGUAGGGUAAAAGCCUACCAAGGCGACGAUCCAUAGCUGGUCUGAGAGGAUGAUCAGCCACACUGGGACUGAGACACGGCCCAGACUCCUACGGGAGGCAGCAGUGGGGAAUAUUGGACAAUGGGCGAAAGCCUGAGCCAGCAAUGCCGCGUGAGUGAUGAAGGCCUUAGGGUUGUAAAGCUCUUUUACCCGGGAUGAUAAUGACAGUACCGGGAGAAUAAGCUCCGGCUAACUCCGUG
rnacentral:rRNA from 1 species